rnacentral:rRNA from 1 species
UACGUAGGGUGCAAGCGUUAAUCGGAAUUACUGGGCGUAAAGCGUGCGCAGGCGGUGAUGUAAGACAGAUGUGAAAUCCCCGGGCUCAACCUGGGAACUGCAUUUGUGACUGCAUCGCUGGAGUGCGGCAGAGGGGGAUGGAAUUCCGCGUGUAUCAGUGAAAUGCGUAGAUAUGCGGAGGAACACCGAUGGCGAAGGCAAUCCCCUGGGCCUGCACUGACGCUCAUGCACGAAAGCGUGGGGAGCAAACAGG